rnacentral:ribozyme from 11 species
ACAGGAAGAAAGAAAGAAAGUAGAGAGCACAACGAAGUUUUUGAGUUCACAAAAGACAAAAAAUGCGGGUUCCUCAUGUCAUUGUUUGCUCUGCUUUCUGUGCUCCCUUCUGUUUCUCCAUCAGGAGAGACAGAGAAAGACAAAGAGGAGAGA